AACGAACGCUGGCGGCAGGCUUAACACAUGCAAGUCGAGCGCACCGGAAGGGGAGCGGCAGACGGGGGAGUAAAGCGUGGGAAACUACCCAUCUCUACGGAAUAACGCAUGGAGACGUGUGCUAAUACCGAAUACGUCCUUAGGGAGAAAGAUAUAUAGGAGAUGGAUGAGCCCGCGUUGGAUUAGGUAGUUGGUGGGGGAAGGGCCUACCAAGGCGACGAUCCAUAGCGGGUCUGAGAGGAUGAACAGCCACACUGGGACUGAGACACGGCCCAGACUCCUACGGGAGGCAGCAGUGGGGAAUAUUUGAAGAUGGGCGCAAGCCUGAUCCAGCCAUGCCGCGUGAGUGAUGAAGGCCCUAGGGUUGUAAAGCUCUUUCACCGGUGAAGAUAAUGACGGUAACCGGAGAAGAAGCCCCGGCUAACUUCGUGCCAGCCGCCGCAGUAAUAC
rnacentral:rRNA from 1 species